CGAGGUGGAGGUGGAAUAUUAACUAUUGGCAUAUUAUGGAUGAGUUUCUGAGAAUCUAUAGCUCAUUGCUCUUGAGAGAUAUUCUUGUCAAGCUCAAUUAACCUCCUACUACCAUCAUCCUGGAUAAACUAUUUUUCUGGGGACGUAACAUUGUGACUCACAAUCACAUUAUGAUCAUGUGGAAAGUAAAAGUAAUAUCCAAUGAAUUUCUUGGGAUAUCUAAUAAAUCAAACUAUAACUGAUUUAUCCUCUAACUUGUGAGCUUUCUAUUUCUUAACAUAGACUGGAUAUUUCCAAAUCUUAAGAUAACUCAACUGGACUUCUUACUAUGCCAUAUCUCAUAUGGUGUGGUAGGAAUAGAUUUAAAAAGAAUCUUAUUUAAAAUAUGCAUUGCAGUAAGGCAUGUCUCUAAAGAAAUAAGAAUAAAUUAGUGAAGCUCAUCGUGAAUCAGACCAUAUCCAAUAGGAUCCUAUUUCUCCUUUCGGAUAUCCCGUUGAGUUGAGGCAUGCCAGGAAGAGUCUAUUGAGAGACUAUGCCAUUCUCCUUAAGA
rnacentral:lncRNA from 1 species